rnacentral:rRNA from 1 species
CCUACGGGUGGCAGCAGUGAGGAAUAUUGGUCAAUGGCCGUAAGGCUGAACCAGUCAAGUCGCGUGAAGGAAGAAGGAUCUAUGGUUUGUAAACUUCUUUUAUAGGUGCAUAAAGGUAUCCACGUGUGGAUCUUUGCAUGUACCCUAUGAAUAAGCAUCGGCUAACUCCGUGCCAUCAGCCGCGGUACUACGGAGGAUGCGAGCGUUAUCCGGAUUUCUUGGGUUUAACGGGUGCGUAGGUUGUUUUUUAAGUCAGCGGUGAAAGUUUGUGGCUCAACCAGACAAUUGCCGUUGAAACUGGAAGACUUGAGUGUGUUUGAGGUAGGCGGAAUGCGUGGUGUAGCGGUGAAAUGCAUAGAUAUCACGCAGAACUCCGAUUGAGAAGGCAGCUUACUAAGCCAUAACUGACACUGAAGCACGAAAGCGUGGGGAUCAAACAGGAUUAGAUACCCUGGUAGUC